rnacentral:piRNA from 1 species
UACACAGCAGGGUGACCACAUCCUAAUGC